rnacentral:rRNA from 1 species
AGAGUUUGAUCCUGGCUCAGAUUGAACGCUGGCGGCAUGCCUAACACAUGCAAGUCGAACGGAAACGAUGGAAGCUUGCUUCCAGGCGUCGAGUGGCGGACGGGUGAGUAAUACUUAGGAAUCUGCCCAGUAGUGGGGGACAACUCGGGGAAACUCGAGCUAAUACCGCAUACGCCCUACGGGGGAAAGCGGAGGAUCUUUCGGGACUUCGCGCUAUUGGAUGAGCCUAAGUCGGAUUAGCUUGUUGGUGAGGUAAAAGCUCACCAAGGCGACGAUCCGUAGCUGGUCUGAGAGGACGAUCAGCCACACUGGGACUGAGACACGGCCCAGACUCCUACGGGAGGCAGCAGUGGGGAAUAUUGGACAAUGGGGGCAACCCUGAUCCAGCAAUGCCGCGUGUGUGAAGAAGGCCUGCGGGUUGUAAAGCACUUUCAGUAGAGAAGAAAAGUUCAGGGUUAAUACCCCUGAAUCUUGACGUUACCUACAGAAGAAGCUCCGGCUAACUCCGUGCCAGCAGCCGCGGUAAUACGGAGGGAGCGAGCGUUAAUCGGAAUUACUGGGCGUAAAGCGCGCGUAGGCGGCUUUGUAAGUCGGAUGUGAAAGCCCCGGGCUCAACCUGGGAAUGGCAUUCGAUACUGCAGAGCUAGAG